ACAUGAGAGCCAUAUCACCCUGCAACUCACAACGGGCAACCAACUGAAGCUAAGCAGGUGUGAGCCUGGUUAGUACCUGGAUGUGAGACCUCCUGGGAAAGCUAAGGGUGCUGCUGGUC
rnacentral:rRNA from 1 species